UAUUUAACCUCAUAGACUAACCUUGUAUACGGUACAUUCUAACUGUAAGAAAGACUCUGACAUUGAUGCCUAGUCCCGCCCCCUUCACGUGCAGUUCAGUUAAGUUCUACUUGGAGCAGGGAGCACAUACUCAGCUCUGCUGCUCCAGUUGAGUUAUUACCUCAGGAUGAUUGCAUGUGAGAAGUUUGUGUGCGUGCCUUUCCACCAAGUUUGAAACCCAGACAGCACGAAGCAUCUUGCCGACGUCAAAAUCAGAUCAACAGACAGGGACAUCAGCCUUCUCUUGGGAAUAGGCCAGAUAUGCCAUAACAAGAAAUGGUGUUUUGCCCCUGCGGUUGUGAAGAGGAUGCUGUGGAGGUGGCAGCAUGAACGUGUCACACAGACAUUGGCUAAACUACUCGGCUUCUACACUUGCCCUUAGAGUUCACAUAUGGUGAAGUGCACAGGUGUCCAGUCAGGUUCAGACUGAUGCUGGUAACAAGAGGAAAACAUGCUAAUUGAUGACCUUUCCAGCAUGUCCAACUCAUCAGCAUCAGGGGAGGAGAGUCGGUGAAGGUGGUGCACCAUCCAGGACCAGUCAUGGGCCACCAACACCUCUGCAAAAUCUGCACUUCUUGUGAACCCUCUAGAAGACACUACAACCACAAAACUGCUAAUAAACCAUCACAUACUACAUCA